rnacentral:rRNA from 1 species
UACGUAGGUGGCAAGCGUUGUCCGGAUUUACUGGGCGUAAAGGAUGCGUAGGCGGACAUUUAAGUCAGAUGUGAAAUACCCGAGCUUAACUUGGGUGCUGCAUUUGAACUGGGUGUCUAGAGUGCAGGAGAGGUAAGUGGAAUUCCUAGUGUAGCGGUGAAAUGCGUAGAGAUUAGGAAGAACACCAGUGGCGAAGGCGACUUACUGGACUGUAACUGACGCUGAGGCAUGAAAGCGUGGGGAGCAAACAGG